GUGCCUGUGGCUCAAAGUAGUAGGGUGCCGGUCCCAUACACCGGAGAUGGCGGGUUCAAACCCAGCCCAGGCCA
rnacentral:tRNA from 1 species